AUAUGUAACAGUAGGAGUUGUGGAUAUAAAAAUGGUAUUGAUGUCCUCAUCAAUAAUGGAUACAGCAGCACAGUGAGCCAACUCUCUCCCUCUAGCUGAUCCUCCUUUACUUAUUAUUUUUCUACACAUGUAGUCUAUAUCACACUAUGAAUAUAUGCAUGCAUAAGAAUAAUGUAUCAUUUUGCUAUGCUGUUGAGCUAUCUUCCCGUCAAUGUAGAUCGUGGUAGUUGUAAUUUUGUUACGCUUUGUAGAUGGGGUUGUUUCGUGUAUACAUUGAGCUUAUGUGAUGAUUAUAUAUAUAACUCAUUGAGUACUCCCUCCAUCCCGAAAUUCAUGUCGUGACGACAAUUUAAAAAAAACUCUCCAGUGUUUCCCGACACAACCCGCGUCCCUCUCUCCAGUGUUCAGUCGCGACGGCGUCUCACUUUCCCCAUUCCCUAGUCGGCCACCACGGUUCACGGCCAGAUCCCGGCCAACUCCGGCCUGUCCUUGCCCUGCCGACCUUUGUCGCCACCCCCUCCUUCCCCUACCUCCGUCCAGUCCAUUUGCCCGCCAAUUCGCAGCCCCAAACAAACCCUGGCCACCGUCGACACUCACAAAUGCCAACUUUCUCACCGCGGAUUGCAUAGAGGAAGGAGAAAUUGCGAUUUUUGUGGUGGUGCGGCAGUGCGUGGUGGUGAUGCACGGAGACCGGCUGCCGAUGUGGCCGUCCAGGAGGCCAAGGUUCUCGCGGACGACGACGAGCAGGCCGCGGGUCCACGGACGAGGGACGCAGGAGGCCUGCUGUCGCCGAGCACCGCUUCUACUCGUGCGAGGAGCGCGUCCGGGUGCUCAAUCUGGAGUGCAUGGCGACAGCCUCAUCCCUGGUCGCCGCGCCGGGGGGAGGUGGCGGUGGCACAGUAACUCGAGCUCCCCUUCUUCGACCCAGCCCCCGAGCCCGAUGCCUCGUCUCCCCUCAGGACUACCUACCUAGCAGCAGCAGCAGAGGCUGGGCGAGUUCGUUUGGUCGAGGAAGAAAUACCAGCUGCAGGUGGUCGAUGCAGCAGUAGCAGUAGGCGUCAGUGGCGGGGCAGCAGCAGUAGUAGGCGUCGGUGGCGAGGAGGGAGCCGGCAGGGAAAGACCACCUCAGCAGCACAGCCGACGAGGAAGGAGCCGGCAGGGAAGGAGAGGCUGGGCCGGCGAUCGGUGUCUCCCAGCAACAGAGACGGGGCGCAGGGAAAGAUUGCGACGGAAUCGCGGAGGUUGACAGGGUUGCAGGUGCAGGUGGGCGGCGCCGCAGUGAUUGGUCGCGCAGGUGGGCGGCGGAAUCACGCAGCUGGGCGCCGGCAAGUGGUCGCGGUGGAUCGAGGACCAGCUCGCCUGGCGGUCACGGCGAUGGACGGCGGAAUCGGUGAGCAGCUGGUGGCGGGUGAGCGGCGGUGGGUGAUUGUGGGUGGGUUGCGAGCACCAGAAUCUCCAGCGCGGCGGAGGAAUCCCAUGGCGUCGGCCUCUGCCCCCUGGCGACGAGCGGGCGCUGGAUGGAGGAAGGAGAAAGAGUCAUGUACUUGUUUGCUACUAUUUUUAAAAUUGCGAGGUGUUUAUUGCAAAACAUCCACUAUACUGCGCCCGCGACAAUAAUUCUGGGGCGGAGGGAGUAGUAACUAACACA